rnacentral:lncRNA from 1 species
AGUCCUCCAACCUCACCGAGACUCUCACCUCCCCAAGGCGUUUUGCUCGCGCCAUCUCUUGUGUAGAUCUGUAUCAAGUGCAGACCAGUGUAUGCGUCAGCUCCCGAAAAGGAUUCCUCACCUGGCUUCCUGUGCAGCCUCAGUUUACCACAGUGUCCGUCAAUACAAAUCCACCACAGACGGUGUGUCUACUCUCGGAGCAAAACAGCCACCACACGGGUCCCUUUCACCUGACUCCUACUGCGGCCCUGGGACUUCUGCAUCCCCAUCAGGACAAGAUCAUUGAUGAAAACAAAAAGUGAGACAAGGGCUGGUGAGAUGGCUCAGUGAUUAAGAGCACUGACUGCUCUUCCAAAGGCCCUGAGUUCAAAUCCCAGCAACCACAUGGUGGUUCAAAACCAUCUGUAACAAAAAUCUGAUGCCUUCUUCUGGAGUGUCUGAAGACAGCUACAGUGUACACACAUAUAAUAAAUAAAUAAAUAAAUCUUAAAAGAAGAAGUGA